rnacentral:rRNA from 1 species
AGAGUUUGAUCCUGGCUCAGAGCGAACGCUGGCGGCGUGCUUAACACAUGCAAGUCGAACGGUUGUAGCAAUACAACCGUGGCGAACGGGUGCGUAACACGUGGAUAACCUUCCUUCAGGUGGGGAAUAACCCAGUGAAAAUUGGGCUAAUACCGCAUAACAUUCCGGGGGCACAUGCUUCUGGAUUCAAAGGCGCAAGU